GAUGAACGCUGGCGGCGUGCCUAAUACAUGCAAGUCGAGCGAACAGAUGAGGAGCUUGCUCCUCUGACGUUAGCGGCGGACGGGUGAGUAACACGUGGAUAACCUGCCUAUAAGACUGGUAUAACUUCGGGAAACCGGAGCUAAUACCGGAUAAUAUCUUGAACCGCAUGGUUCAAUAGUGACAGACGGUUUUGCUGUCACUUAUAGAUGGAUCCGCGCCUCAUUAGCUAGUUGGUAAGGUAACGGCUUACCAAGGCAACGAUGCGCAGCCGACCUGAGAGGGUGAUCCGCCACACUGUAACAUAGACACGGACCAGACUCCUACGGGAGGCAGCAGUAGGGAAUCUUCCGCAAUGGGCGAAAGCCUGACGGAGCAACGCCGCGUGGGUGAUGAAGGUCUUCGGAUCGUAAGACUCUGUUAUUAGGGAAGAACAAAUGUGUAAGUAACUAUGCACGUCUUUACGGUACCUAAUCAGAAAGCCACGCCUAACUACGUG
rnacentral:rRNA from 1 species